AUUGAACGCUGGCGGCAGGCCUAACACAUGCAAGUCGAGCGGAUGAGAGGAGCUUGCUCUUUGAUUCAGCGGCGGACGGGUGAGUAAUGCCUAGGAAUCUGCCUGGUAGUGGGGGACAACGUUUCGAAAGGAACGCUAAUACCGCAUACGUCCUACGGGAGAAAGUGGGGGAUCUUCGGACCUCACGCUAUCAGAUGAGCCUAGGUCGGAUUAGCUAGUUGGUGAGGUAAUGGCUCACCAAGGCGACGAUCCGUAACUGGACUGAGAGGAUGAGCAGUCACACUGGAACUGAGACACGGUCCAGACUCCUACGGGAGGCAGCAGUGGGGAAUAUUGGACAAUGGGCGCAAGCCCGAUCCAGCCAUGCCGCGUGUGUGAAGAAGGUCUUCGGAUUGUAAAGCACUUUAAGUUGGGAGGAAGGUCAGUAGCUUAAUACGUUGCUGAUUUGACGUUACCGACAGAAUAAGCACCGGCUAACUCUGUGCCAGCCGCCGCUGUAACAC
rnacentral:rRNA from 1 species